UGAAAAGGAAGAAAAUGCUCAAACAAAAAUUUUCAACAAAGCUUGAACUACAUUUGUAGAAUGACAUUGGGUAACCAUGGCUUUGUUCGUGCUAUUCUUCUCAUGACAAUCACUAUGAAUUUGAUAUGGUUCUCUACAACUCAAGUUAUGGGUGUACGAGAGACUAGCCAUGAUCUCUUUGGACUCCAAAGGAGGCUACUCCCACAACGAAAUGAUAUAAUAACUUGUGGGAGUAUUUGCAAUAAUGACAGUGAUUGCAGUGGUUGCUGGCUUUGUUGUAACUGUAGACCAAACUACUUUGAACCAAACGUCUUUGGUGCUAAUACAUGUGCACGUUAUUAAUAGCAAUGGUGCCCCAUGGGACUACUGCAAAUCCAUGUUAUGAACUUACUAUAUAUUUAUGUUAUUCCCUGCACUUUUCUUGUUUCAUCGUCUUUAAAUAAAGUCAUGUGAUGACAUUCUAUUCAUGAAUAAUAAUAGACUCGACUCUGUAGCUAGUCGGGCUAGCUUUUAUGUACAAAGUUAUUGCAUAUGAAACCUAUUUGAAUUGUUUUCUCGUGUUGACUUUAUUUAAAA